UACGUAGGGUGCGAGCGUUAAUCGGAAUUACUGGGCGUAAAGCGUGCGCAGGCGGUUCGUUAUGUCCGAUGUGAAAGCCCCGAGCUUAACUUGGGAAUGGCAUUGGAAACUGGCGGGCUGGAGUGCGGCAGAGGGGGAUGGAAUUCCGCGUGUAGCAGUGAAAUGCGUAGAUAUGCGGAGGAACACCGAUGGCGAAGGCAAUCCCCUGGGCCUGCACUGACGCUCAUGCACGAAAGCGUGGGGAGCAAACAGGAUUAGAUACCGUU
rnacentral:rRNA from 1 species